UGGAAAAAGCCUAUCCACGUCAACUCUAUCUAUCCCCCUCAUAAUUUUAAAUACCUCUAUCAAGUCCUUCCUCAACCUUCUAUGCUCCAAAGAAUAAAGAACUAACUUGUUCAACCUUCCUCUGUAACUUAGGUGUUGAAACCCAAGUAACAUGCUAGUAAAUCUUCUCUGUACACUCUCUAUUUUGUUGACAUCUUUCCUAUAAUUCAGUGACCAGAACUGUACACAACACUCCAAAUUCGGCCUUACCAAUGUCUUGUGUAAUUUUAACAUUACAUCCCAACUCCUAUACUCAAUGCUCUGAUUUAUAAAGGCCAGCAUACCAAAAGCUUUCUUCACCACCCUAUCCACAUGAGAUUCCACCUUCAGGGAACUAUGCACCAUUAUUCCUGCAUUCUUCAAUGCCCUACCAUUUACCAUGUAUGUCCUAUUUGGAUUAUUCCUACCAAAAUGUAGCACCUCACACUUAUCAGCAUUAAAUGCCAUCUGCCAUCUUUCAGCCCACUCUUCUAACUAGCCUAAAUCUCUCUGCAAGCUUUGAAAACCUACUUUAUCAUUUACAACGCCACCUAUCUUAGUAUCAUCUGCAUACUUACUAAUCCGAUUUACCAGCCCAUCAUCCAGUUCAUUAAUGUAUAUAACAAACAAUAUUGGACCCAAUACAGAUCCCUGAGGCACACCACUAGUCACCGGCCUCCAACCUGACAAACAAUUAUCCAUCAGUACUCUCUGGCAUCUCCCAUCCAGCCAUUGUUGAAUCUAUUUUACUACUUCAAUGUUAAUACCUAACGAUUGAACUUUCCUAACUAACCUUCCGUGUGGAACCUUGUCAAAGGCCUUACUGAAGUCCAUAUAGACAACAUCCACUACAUUACCCUCGUCAACUUUCCUGGUAACCUCUUCAAAAAAUUCAAUAAGAUUUGUCAAACAUGACCUUCCAUGCACAAAUCCAUGUUGACUAUUCCUAAUCAGACCCUGUCUAUCCAGAUAAUUAUAUAUACCAUCUCUAAGAAUACUUUCCACUAAUUUACCCACCACUAACGUCAAACUUACAGGCCUAUAAUUGUUAGGUUUACUCUUAGAACCAUUUUAAACAUGGAACAACAUGAGUAAUAUGCCAAUCCUCCGGCACCAUCCCCGUUUCUAAUGAAGAUGGUAGAAGUUGCAGAGAAUGAUGUGCUGAACAUGGAGGCUCAUGGGGCUUGUUGUCAUUCUUCAGAAAUCCAAUUGCCAGGAGUACAGCCAUUUCCUCUUCACCACCACCCUCCUCUGCCUGGCGAAAUUGGUCCGCAGCUCAACAAUUUCUCUUUCAGUGCUCCUGCUUUCUCCAAACUCAAGGUGUAGCCUUGUGUGCCUGCAUGGACCUCAACUAUGCCUGCCUUUUCAUUGGCUAUGUGAAGCAGUCCAUGUUCCAAGCCUUCCCUGGUAACGCUCCCAAUGCUUUCUGUGGUAUAAUGACAACUGCACUGGUGCUGCUUCAUGCACCCAUGCUGAGCUUCGCAAUUUCAUCAACUUUUCCUCCAACUUCCAUCCUGCUCUUAAAUUCACUUGGCCCAUUUCUGACACCUCGCUUCCCUUUGUAGAUCUUUCUAUCUCAAAUUGUCAACUAGUAUCUUUUACAAACCUACCCACUCCCACUCAGUCUUGACUAUACCUCUUCCCACCCUGUCUCCUGUAAAAAUACUAUUCCCUUUUCUCAUUUCCUUCAUCUCUGCCACUUCUGUUCCCAGGACAUGGUUUUCCAUUUCAGGACAUCAGAGAUCUUCUCCUUCUUUAAAGAAUAGUGUUUCCCUUCCUCCACCAUUGAUGCUGUCCUCAUCUGCAUCUCCUCCAUUUCCCGGACAUCCACACUCACCCCAUCUUCCUGCUGCUUUAACAUGGAUAGAGCUCCUCUUGUCCUUUCCCAACACCCCAUGAGCCGCUACAUCCAGCCUAUCAUCCUCUGGAACUUCUGCCAUCUUCAAUGAGACCCUACCACCAACCACAUCUUUACCUCCCUGCCCACUCUCCACUUUCCACAGGGAUCGCUUAUUCCAUGAUUCCCUUGUUGAUUCAUCCCUUCCCACUAAUCUCGCCCAUGGCACAUCCCUGCAAGCAGAGGAAGUGCUAAUCCUCCCCAUUUACCUCCUCCUUCACCUCCUUUUCAGGUCUCCAAACUGUCCUUCUCGGUGAAGCAAUGCUUCAUGUGGGGUGGUCUACUGUAUCUGGUGCUCCCAAUGUGGCCUCCUUUACAUUGCUGAGACCCAAAGUAGAUUGAGGGGCGGCUUUCUUUGAGCACCUUCACUCCACCCGUAACAAGAUGGAUUUCCCACAAGCCAAAAAUUUUAAUUCCAGUCCAUUCCAACAUGUUGGUCCCUUCUGCAAUGAUGAAGCCACUAUCAGAUUGGAGGAGCAACACCUCAUAUUCUGUUUGGGUAGUUUCUAAACUGAUGGCAUGAACAUCAAUUUCUCCACCUUCCAGUAAUAUUAACCCCUCCCCCUUCCUGCAUCUUCAGUUCCCCACUAUUUGCUCCCCUUAACUUUUCUCUUUUCCUCAUCUGCCUAUCAUUUCCCCCAGUGUCUUUCCUCCUUCUCUUUCUCCCAUGGUCCACUCUCCUCUCCUCUCCAGAUUUCUGCUUCUCCAGCCCUUUACCUUAUCACCUCCCAGCUUCUAACUUCAUCCUCCUCCCCCAUUCACCUGGCUUCACCUUUCAUCUUCUCACUUGUACUUCUUCCUUUCCCCCAUCCUCUCAUUCUGACCUCCUCCCCCUUCCUUUUUGAGUCCUGAUGAAGGGUCUCGGCCUGAAAUGUCGACAGUUUAUCCAUUUCCAUAGAUGCUGCCUGACCUGCUGAGUUCUUCCAGCAUUUUGUGUGUUGUUGCAUGUAAUGUGAAAUGUCUUGACAUAUUUUUUGAGACAUGUGUACUAGUUUUUCCACUUAGUUUCAAUGCAUUGGAGAAGCAUAGAACGUUAUUCCCUCUCUGCAUUCCUACAAUUUACUGUUUUAUUCCCUGGGUGACAAUACCACAGCUGGAGUACCAAUCCUAAGGAACUGAGAGCAACAUGCACAAAAUACUGGAGAAACUCAGCAGAUCAAGCAGCAUCUAUGGAAGAGUCUUUCAUCAAGACCUUCCAUCAAGAUCUCGGACUGAAACACCAACUAUUAAUUCCUUCCCGCAGAUACUGCUGAGUUCCUCUAGCAUUCCAUACUUGUUGCUCUAGAUUUCUAGCAUCUGUAGAAUCUCUUCUGUUUAAUCCCCUGGCUUUAGGUUGAGGCAAAUGCAAUGUUAGCAUUCAUUUCAAGAGUGCUAAGUUAUAAAAGCAAGGAUGUGAUGCUGAGUCUUUAUAAGCCAUUGGUCAGACCCCACUUGGAGGAUUAUGAACAGUUUUGGACCACUUAUCUCAGAAGAGGUGUGCUGGCAUUGGAGAGAGUCCAGAGGAGGUUCACAAGAAUAAUGCCAGGAAUGAAAGGGUUAACAUAUGAAGAGCAUUUUAUGGCUCUGAGCCUAUACUUGAUGGAGUUUAGAAGAAUGAGAGAUCUCAUUGAAACCUACUGAAUAUUGAAAAGCCUAGAUAGAGUGGAUUUGGUGAGGGUGUUUCCUCUUGUUGGGAUGUCUGGGUCCAGAAUACAGAGUCUCUGAAUAGAAGAACAUCCAUUUAGAACAGAGGAAUUUCUUCAGCCAGAGGGGAGUGAAUCUGUAGAACUCAUUGCCAUAGAUGGCUAUGGAGACCAAGUUACUGUGUAUAUUUAAAGCAGAAGCUGAUAGGUUCUUGAUUUGUCAGGAUGUCAAAGGUUACGGGGAAAUGGCAGAAGGAUGUUGAAAGGGAUAAUAAAUCAGCCAUGAUGGAAUGGCAGAGCAGACUCAGUGCCUAAUAUCCUAAUUUUGUUUCUAAGUUUUAUGGUCUUUGGUCUUUAAUAGGAGCAAGAAACUACAGUUGCGGGAAGUCAGUCUGAAGCAAAAGCAAUGUUGGGAAUGCUGAGCAGGGCAGACAGCAGCUGUAGGUCAAGGACUGGGCUAGUGAGAAGCCAAGUGUGUUAUAGAUAGGAAGUAAAGCAGAGAAAACAGAGAAGUUUAUGAAAAUAGGGUGCCCAAAGUUAUCAAUGUACCAAUUACUUUAAAAGUAACAUUUCAAAGUUCAAAGUACAUUUAUUAUCAAAGUAUGUAUACUAUAUACAAUCUUGAGAUUCGUCUCCUUAUAGACAACCACAAAACUAAGAAACCCAAUGGAACCCAUUAAAAAAAGACUGUCAAACACUCAAUUAGCAGGAAAAAAACAAACAUGCAAACAAUAAAACUGAACUUCACAAAAGUGAUUCCACAGCCACAAAGCCAGUCACAGUCGAUCCAGGAGCCUGUUAUUUGCAGACCACAGUGUCAGUUCAGCACAGAGAUGAGUAAACCUUGUGAACAGUGAGCUGAACACCAGCCCUUCCCUUGCCUCCAGCCCCAACUCCCUGACCUUUGUACUCUAGCCCAGAGCUUAAAUGGCUAACAGAGCUCUUUGCUCUUGGACCCCGUCCCUGCCACUUUGAUAUGAUCUUAGGCCUGAGACCUACCACCUCAAUUAAGCCUGUAUCCAGCAUUCCCAAUCCAGCCCAGUGUUUAAAUUGAUCAAACAUCAGCUUGUUCCUCGCUCCCAGGCCUGAGCCAUGCCACCUUGCUUUGGCCCAUUACACACCACCUCACAACCAUCCUGCACCUUCAAGGCUUCAUCUCACACUGCAAAAAUGCCAAAUCGUACAGAUGGCUCAAAAGCUUGAUGCUGAAAGGGAAGUUACAGCCUAUUGAUCGCAGAGUUCAUUUACUAUGAAAAAAGGAAGGAAAAAAUGAAACAAAUUGAAGUAAUAAGAUAUUGCCCCAGCCAUGGAGAAAAGAAAAACUAUUGAACGUUACAAUGUCAAAUAAUUCAGAAGUUACCUGUGGCAGCAUGGUAGCAUAACACGUAAUGCUGUUAAGCAGAUUAAUGAGUUUAUACGUUGUCCCUGUGACCACAUGGGUUUCCUCCAAGUGCUCCAGUUUCCUCCCACUUUCCAAAGACAUACGUACAUGGGUGUAAUUGGAUGGUGUAGGGUCAUUGGGCUAGUUACCAUGAUAUUUCUCUAAAUAAAAAUAAAAUAUUCCCCUUAUUUUAUAUUUGUAACAUACCAUCUGAAAGAGAAGUCUGUUCCUCAGGCUUAAGUUGGAGCAACAGAUGAAGCCAGUGACAGAAAUCAAAGUCAAAGUGGGAAGAAGAAUUUGCAUAACAGGAGACUGGAAACUCAGAAUCCCCUUUGUGGACUGAAUGGAAGUGUUCUACAAAGUAGUUACCUAUUCUGCUUUUGAUUGUUCCCUUGUAGGGAAAACCACAUUGUGAGCACAAAAGGAAUGACUCUGUAGGAGAGCAGGGAAGCUCUUUCAAUGAAAAUGUGAUGAUGGAGUAGAGGGAUUUGCACCUCCAAAAGGACCACAAUCCUGUCAUGGUUUAGAGGCUUGCAUGCCUCAAUGACCCAAAGAGCUAUGCUGGUUGGAGUCGGGACUUUACGCUUUGACUCUUGAUCGGGUCAAACCCAUGCCAAAGAGGUCAAAGGGUAGAGGACAGACUAAAGGCUGAUUUAUACUUGUGCAUACGGGCUGCGUCAUAGCCUAUGCCACAGCCCUGCUUUUCACUUCUGUGUCGCUCUACGCCGUAGCGAGCAUGCGUUGGUGUGCACCAAAACGCUAGUUAGUGGUGGGGUUUCUAUGCCACUGUGUUGAGCUUCUUCAUGAGAGACGUGGAAAGGAAAUGCAUUUCAAACAUUUUUGCAUGCCGGCAGGUAAAUUUGACGAUUUGGUUCCUCUAUUUCGCAUCAGUGUACAGACAUGGCGGAGAAGAAGCAACCAGAAAUGUGUAAGAGGAAAUGCGAUGCUACCAAGCAGGCCAAUCACAGUUGUUGUGGACUGCAUCGCUGCAAUGCGUGAAUUACUUUUUUGGGGACGUGUACGUCACCCUACGGCGUAGGUACGGUGUAGGGUAAGUGGCACCUACGGCGCAGAUGUGACGCACAAGUAUAUAUCAGCCUUAAGAAUGAUCCACCAAUCCUCCAGGUUCGGGGGGGUGGGGAGUUUCAGCUCAGGUCCGACAACCCUAGCUGGUCAAGCAAAACUGUUACGGAAACUGCAAUGAAGGAUCCUUCUGCAUCUGAAUGUGACGGUAUUCCUGAGUCUCCACCUGGGACUUGCAUGACUGACAAUAAACUGAGAGGAAGCUACUGGCAUGAUGAAAGAAGACUUGAAUGUCGUCAGAGACGGAGGACCUUCAAUGCCACCCUAAACUCCAUUGAAAUAAUGGGAAAAAGAAGAAGAAGAGGAACUUGCAGGGAGUGAAGAAAAGGUAGAUGGAAUAGAAAAAUCAAAAUUCUGAAAACGACAAGAAAUGCUGGAGAGAUAAGAGAAGGAACUAAUAUCAAACUAAAUGACAAAUGCCUGUUAUACAUGGCAUCUAAAGUAUAAUAAAAACAUGAUAAGGCAUGCUAUGUUAGAUGCGACGUACUAGGCUGUCCAUUCUGUUUUCAGUAAAAUCACCCAUAACUUUGCAAGCACUGUUUCAUCUUCAGAAAGCAAGGAGAGAGCAGAUGAUGAAUGGUAUAACGAGAUACAUUGGACUCACUCAUGAGGAAAGAUUCCAUUAAACCAUACUCCUAUUGUACACAUCCAGAAUAAAUCAAAGGUGGUAUUGUUUCUUCAGCAUUAACAGACAGAAGGACAAGCAAAAAUUAUUGAUCCUCGACCCAGUUGAACAGCAUUAGUAGAAAAACAAAUGUGACAGGAAAGAGAUUCUCAAAGUCAGUCCUCAACAGUGGCUUUGUGUAAGAAGCUCAGUGAGAAUAGGAUGGAACAGAUUGAUCUGAUACAAUUAGCAGAGCAAAAAGGGACAAUAAAUAUCACUGGCAGACAACAUUAAGGAGAUAGUGAAAUGCCUCAAUAUAUUUAUUAGAGAAUACCAAAAGGUACUCAAGACUAAAAAUGAAUGGUAAUUGGAUAACAGGGAAGCAUUGGGAUGAAAGAGCCAAAGAGUGGAAAAGAGAGAGAUAAAAGGAGACAGGAGUAUAUAGUACUUCUGUGUCAUUAGAAAUAAAUGUAAAAGAGAACAAGGAGAGUAGAUUAAAUGGUGGUGAAGAUCUAUCCUGAACUGCUACCCUUCAAUUGUUGAAGAUAUUACUUUAGUACUUGAGGAGAGUGGGAAUGAGGAGAGAGAAUCAGUGACUGGAAAUAACAGAGGAGGAAGAAAGGAAUGUAGAAGAGAGGGGAAGACAUAGUUUCACGGUGGACAGAGGAAAAGCUUUCCAGCAACAAACAGAAAUGUUGGAUGAAUUUCAUUAGUGAGGCAGCAUCUGGAGAAAGAGAGAAACUAGGUAACAUUUCAAAUCAGCCAAAUGCUGAACGGGUUGCUGCCCCGAAACAUUGAUUUGGUUUCUUUUUCCACAGAUGCUGCUUGGCUGACUGAAUUUUACAGACUUUCUGUCUUUGCUUCUGCUUCCAGCUUCUGCAGUUUUCUUGGCUUGCCGAAGAUUUCCAGAAUUUCGACUGCAAGGAUGCGAGAUCCAAGGCUCCUUGAACAUCAAAAGGUUUUGGCAUUGGUUCUUUUGGAGACCCUGGCCUGGAGUUACACUCUGACUUUGGUUCUUUAUGGGAAUGGAACCCGCUCUCAGGGCCUCACGACCGGCGCUUUUUGAUAUCCCAGGGAUGCGGCCUGGAAGCCUAGCGAGCCUUCGGGGUGCCGGAUUUUCGUGGCUCUGGAGACGGGCUGAUUCAAGGCUGAUACUCCUGACUGAAGCGUCAUGGGAGAACACAGUACAUCGGGAGCAGCGGGUUGGCUGCCAUGGGCUGUGUGUCCAGAGACCUGAGCCCACUGUGCCAGUCUCUUUUUCUAAAGAGCAUAUGCUGCACUGUGUUUUUUUUAAAUCAAACAUCUUGCUGCGCUUCAACAGGCAGGUUAUUAUCUCAGAUUUCCCCAAAUCCAUAUUUUUCCAGUUUCUACCUUGAAGUGAGGUUCGUGUAGGAACUGUUGAAGUUCAUGACAAAUUACAGAUUCCAGUGGACCGACUCACAGAAAACCACACAAGCCCAGCAUGUGAAGGCCCACAAUAUCUCGGAUGGACUACAUCUGGAAUCCUACGUUUGGUUAUAUGUUUCCCAGUGUCCAAAGAUACAUCAAACAGUAAACUGUGUGUUGACGGUCUCAACAAUAAUACAGCUGUAAUCUUCUAAAUUAACUUGAUCAUUUAGAUUACAAUGAUAAGUCACAAAGUUAGUUUUCUUCAUUCUGACAUGAGAACAAAAUCCUGAGGGGUGCUUGAAACCCGGAAUAAAAGCAAAAGAUGCUGGAAACACUCAAUAGAAACAUUUUCUCUCACCACAGGUGCCACAUAACUUGUUAUGUUCUAGGAUUAUCUAUUUUUACUUAGCUCAGAUUUCAUUUUAUAAAGUGAGUUAUAAAUUCUAAAUGAUAAUAAAUAGCAGCAGCCCCAUUGAAAGAUUCAUAUCUGGUUGUAAUCUUGCUUCAUAAUCCAGUGUGUUGGUGCAUGGCCUAGUGGAUAAGGCAUCAGGUCUAGUGAUCUGAAGGUCACUGGUUCGAGCCUCAGCUGAGACAGUGCGUUGUGUCCUUGAGCAAGGCACUUAACAAUACAUUGUUCUGCGAUGACACCGGUGCCAAGCUGCAUGGGUCCUAGUGCCCUUCCCUUGGACAACAUCGGUGGCGUGGAGAGGGGAAGGCUUGCAGCUUGGGCAACUGCCGGUCUCCCAUACUACCCAGGCCUGCACCCUGGAAAAACCUUCCAAGGUGCAAAUCCAUGGUCUCACGAGACUAACGGAGACUAACUAUCAUAAUCCAGAAACAACAUCAGCCCUUUCAGUGUAUCUAAUCAUUAAAGAUACAUUGGUGGCACAGCAAGUAAAUUAUCAGAGACCCAAGGUAAAAUCCCACCAUGGCAGCUGAGGAUUUUAAAUUGAAAACUGGGAAACAAAACUAUUGGUAAGUCAUUGGUAAGGAUGACUGUCAAUGCUAGCAGAUUGCUGUAAAAAUCCAUCUUUCUGGGAAGAAAUGUGCCUUCUUUAUCCGUUCUGGCCUGCAUGUGAACCCAGACUCAUAGCAUGUGUUUGAAUCUUAAAUGCCUUCUGGCUGAGAAAGCAAUUCAGUUGUAUCGAUAUUGCUACAUUUAAACAGAGAAGGACUUAAAUUGACCAGACGCUGGUACUGAAUUCAGACACCUCCAUGACCUUCAGCAUCUUAUGCCCCUUCAUUGUCCGAAUCAAAAUUCUAGAGCUCCUUCUCUAAUACCACUGAAUGCAGCAGUUCAAGGAGGCAACUUGCUAUCACCUUCUCAAAGCCAGCUAGGUAUGGACUCUAUCUAUUUAAAGAAACCAAAAUGCCUUUUGGUUUUUGCACUAUUCUCUAUAAACUCUAUGCACUAAACACUCUGUGCACGAAAACCCCAGGAGGUUAUUUUCUGAGAUAUUCAAACCACCUCAUCCGGCACCAACAAACAUUCCACGGUCAACAUCACUUGGAUCAAAUUUCUUCCCCAUUCUGAUGUUUGGUCUGAACAACAACUGAACCUCUUGACCACGUUGGCAUGCUCUUAUGCAAUGAGGUUCUGCCACAUUAUUGGCUGUUUAGAUACUUGCAUGAACUAGCAGGUGUACAGGUGUACCUAAUAAAGUUUCCACUGAGUGUGUGUUACCAGCGUUAAUUCAUUGUCAGUCAAUAAUUCAUGCAGCCUGAGGAUGAUCUCAUCUUCUCCAAAUGAUCAUUAACCAUAAGACAAUCUUUUCAAAUUUAUUGAAUGAUAGUUGCCAGGAACAAAAUUUAAUAUGUUUUUUUCCAGCCUGUUAAUACACUAAUAAACCUUUCCUACGUGUAAGUUCAAGCUGUUGUGUUGGAUAGUAUCCAUUUGAAUUUCAUUUGUACUUUUUGAACAAUGUUUGGAUAUGCAGUGAUGUUGUUGAGUCAUAAUAAGCUGACACAAAGACUGAUGAAUACGGCCUAUCAAUUUAGUGAAGAGAACAUUCAGAGCAAGUCCCCACUGAACCAUCAUGAAAGUGGCUUUCCUAUGUUCAGAACAAUAAUCUACUUAAUAUCAUGGAAGUAGUCGGACUUCUACCAUUUCCUGAAACAUGUAUUCCCAGCAGGAAAGAUGCUACAAUUUAUACAGCUACCAGGUUCUAAAAGGAUGAUGUCAGCUUUAGUAAUGCAAGAGGCCUUUGAUACAUUGCCCGAAGUCAAUUUAAAUCAUUGGUUGGUAAUAUCCUUGCCCAUGAGACUCAGUUAGAAAAGCCUGUUACAUCUAUGUAAGCUGAAUGACCCUUUCAAAAACAUCAAAUCCAGUGAAAGUUCAUUGCUAACCAGGGAUUUCUUGCUGUGAAGAAGGGCACCACUAAUUGGUAAUGUUCGAGAGAUAACACUCUUAUGGAGGCCAUAAAGCUCUGACCUCAAGUAAUGAGACUGAAUGCAUCAGUCAUUGAGAUCCAUAAGCCAUCUGCUCCCUACAAAAGAUAUUAAAUAAUUAAAUGUAGACACUAAAAUUGCACGUAGCAAAUACAGUAAAUAGCAAAAGCUUGCACUCGCACCCUGUAACUGUAGGAUCUGUCACUGUGUUUUCUGAGCUGUGCAGUUGUUGUUAUGAUGAUGGAAACAUGGCAGCCAGUUGUUACCAAACAGUGAUGGAGAAUUAGAGCAGAACAAUAUUGGUUGUCUCAACGGUUAAGACCAAUGAAAUGCUAUAAUAAUUUUGGGUGAAUUGCUUGGAAAGAAGGUGCACUGGCAACUUUGCUUUGGAGAGUUGGUUGGAGAAGUAAUGGCCAUUCGCUGACGCAGAUAUGCAAAAUGUAUAACUGCUGUAUCUUGAUUGGGUCUAACACAAAACAAUUUUUAAAAUGUUCUGUUUCUAAUAAAGGGCCAAAGUUAUAUGAUUCACCAUACCAAGAUAACAUAUUUGUUUCUAUAAAAUAUCUGUCUGAUCUAUGAGAGAACCAGAGAAAAUAUUUUGGGCGUGUUAAUGUAUAAUUUGAAAGUAAAAAGACAUAUAUUGUUCCACAUAGAAAAUACUUGGAUGAGAUGAAUAAAAAGUUGAAUGGAAACAUAUCUGAGUGUAAAGACCAUGAGGAAUAGGAACAAGAAUAGCCCUUCUGUCUGCUCCACCGUUUAGUAGGAGUGCGGCUGAUCCAAUAUUCCCCAAAGCCACUUUCCUGCCCUUCUUUAAAUAGAAGUGACAGACUGGCACCUGUUGCAGGGCAGGAGCCAUUUGGAAAGGACCAGUGUCAUCAUUCCUUGAACGAUCGGCAUCACUGUAGGGUAGGAACCAUUUGGAAAGGACAAGUCUCAAUGGGAGUGAGCUUUAUUUGAGCUCAUAAAAAAAGUGAGGUGUAGGCGGAGUUCCCACUGUGGGAGCAGACAUUGUUGGAGUGGGCCAGUGCUAGAGAGGUUAGCCUUUGGCUCAACAGCUUCAGC